CCCUGGCACCCCUGCCACAGCUAAAGAAGUUGCUGUGGCCAGAACCCAGCUGCUGGCAGGUAUAUUGUCCAGCUCUGAAUCCCUCGUACAAACACCCAGCUUGGCAAGGAGAAGGCACUGCAAACCUGGUGAAUAUGAAGGAUUUAGAGAUCAUGGAGGGUGCUAACAGUCACAUUAUCCAGUGCAAAAGCAAGCCAUUUGUUGGACCAACAAUAUUAAUUUCUCUAAGUGACCUCGAAGGAUUUGCUGACGGGAUUUCAUCAUCAAAAAGCCUAUCAGCAGGGUAAGCAGACUAGAAGAGCCAGACUUGUGUCCUCCCUCCCUUUUCUCCCCUGCCACAGGUAAUGCAGGAUCAUCCACAGCCAUCUCAAAAUGUUCACUGCUUGCUCAAUUUUGUAUUACAGGAAGCACAGCUCCACUAGGUGAUGAACCUUCAGUAAUUACCUGAUG
rnacentral:lncRNA from 1 species